rnacentral:lncRNA from 1 species
GAAGCUAUCUGUAAAAUCACAUGUGUGGAUUCAGCUCACAGAGUUAAGCAAAGACAAUUGAGGCCUAUAGUGAAAAACUGAAUAUCACCAAAGAAAAACUAAAAAGAAGCUAUCUGUGAAAACACUUUGGUUGUCUAUAUUUACGUCACAGAGUUAAAUAUUUCUUUUGAUUAAGCAGAUUGAAAACACUCUUUUUGUAGAGUGUACAAACAAAUAUUUCAUAGCCCACUGGUGCCUGUUGUGAAAAACUGAAUACCUCAAGAUAAAAACUAGAAAGAAGCUAUUUGAGAAACUGCUUUGCAAUGUGUGAAU